CACCACGAAAGUCGGAAGUGCCCAAAGCCGGUGGGGUAACCUUCGGGAGCCAGCCGUCUAAGGUAAAGUCGAUGAUUGGGGUGAAGUCGUAACAAGGUAGCCGUAUCGGAAGGUGCGGCUGGAUCACCUCCUUUCUAGGGAGA
rnacentral:rRNA from 1 species